UCCCACAUUUGCCAUUCUCUACUUAAGGCAUUGUUCUCUCUCCCUAUUUGUAAAGUUUCACUUGUAUUUUGGAGUGAAAUAUAUUUGGUAGUGCCCGAGGACGUAGGCAAGAUUUGCCGAACCUCGUUAAAUUUUGGUGUUCUUUACUAUUUAAUGUUCAUAUUUUGUGAGUGUGAUUGUAGUGAUUUAUUGUGCUAUUAAAUUACGAUAGAGGGAUAUUCUGGCUAGGAAAGACUUGGUACUUAAGUGAUCCUCGUGAUUCACCUCUCUUUCCUGGGAAUUGAACUUAGUGUGAUUUUUUAGUACAAUAAUUUUACUCUUUCACACGCUUCCGCGCAACAAUUGGUAUCAGAGCCAAAUUCGUACUUGGGGAAUACGACCGUUUACGGUACUAUUCACGUAUACGGCACUAUUCACGUAUACAGUACUAUUCACGUAUACGGCACUAUUCACGUAUACGGUACUGUUCACGUAUACAGUAGUUGGGAUUGAGGAGAAAAAUGGCAGCAGCAUCGUCAUCAGCAAGGACUACUGUGACAAAUGCAAAAUUUGAAGUAGAGAAAUUUGACGGUACCAAUAAUUUUGGUAUGUGGCAGUGUGAGAUCCUGGAUGUCUUAUGUCAGCAAGAGCUGGAUAUAGCCCUUGAAGAAAAACCUGACAAGAUGGAUGACAAGGAGUGGGCCAAGAUCAAUAGACAGGCGUGUGGUACAAUCCGCCUAUGUUUGGCCAAAGAGCAGAAGUACUCCGUCAUGAGGGAGACAUCAGCGAAGAAGCUGUGGGAUACAUUAGAAGAAAAGUUUCUAACGAAAAGUCUUGAAAAUAGGCUUUAUAUGAAAAAGAAACUUUUUCGGUUCACGUAUGCACCCGGUAUGUCGAUGAAUGACCAUGUGAACUCAUUCAAUAAAAUUUUAGCAGACUUGCUAAAUUUGGAUGAGAAAUUUGAAGAUGAAGACAAGGCAUUAUUGUUGUUGAAUUCCCUUCCUGAUGAAUAUGAUCAUCUUACCACCACAUUGCUUCAUGGGAAGGACACGAUCACAUUUGAUGCAGUUUGUAGUGCGUUGUAUAGAUCUGAGACUCGGAAGAAAGAUAAAAGAGAUCACAGAGAUACAAUUGCAGAAGUCUUAACAGUAAGAGGUCGUUCACACAGCAGCAAACCUGGUAGAAGGGGUAAGUCCAAAGGGAGACCCGCCAAAGAUGAAUGUGCCUUUUGUCGUGAGAAAGGGCAUUGGAAAAAGAAUUGUCCUAAGUUACAAAAGGGCAAGUCUAUUUCUAAUGCAUGUGUAGCGGAGCAUGAUGAGGAGUCAGACUUUAGCUUGGUUGGCAUGGCAAUGGCAUGUCAAACGGAUGAGUGGAUAUUGGAUUCGGGAUGUACUUACCAUAUGUGUCCUAAUAAGGACUGGUUUUCUAGUCUUGAAGAACUAGAAGGUGGAGUUGUUUUUAUGGGCAAUGAUAGUGCCUGUAAGACAAUGGGUGUAGGUACAAUCAAAUUGAAGAACCAUGACGGCUCAAUCCAAGUCCUGACAGAUGUUCGCUAUGUACCCAGCUUGAAGAAAAAUCUCAUCUCAUUAGGGGCCCUAGAAUCUAAAGGGCUCACAAUCACUUUGAGAGAUGGAUUACUAAAGGUAGUAGCUGGGGUAUUGACGGUGAUGAAAGGCACUAGAAGAAAUAACUUGUACUAUUUAAAUGGAAGUACAGUUAUUGGAUCAACAUCAACAGCUUCUGCGAAAGAUGCAGAUUCAGAGGCUACCAGGUUAUGGCAUAGGCGAUUGGGACAUGCUGGUGAAAAAGCUUUGCAGACUUUGGCGAAGCAAGGCUUGUUGAAAGGUGCAAAUUCUUGCAAAUUGGAAUUCUGUGAACAUUGUGUUCUGGGCAAGCAGACGAGGGUAAAAUUUGGUUCAGCAAUUCACAAUACGAAAGGAAUUCUGGACUACGUUCACAGUGAUGUGUGGGGACCUACCAAAGUGGCUUCUUUGGGAGGUAUGCACUAUUUUGUCACUUUUCUUGAUGAUUAUUCAAGAAAAGUAUGGGUGUAUCUAAUGAAAAGAAAAAGUGAAGUUUUGGAUGCAUUUCUGAAGUGGAAGAAGAUGGUGGAGACUCAGACUGGUCGAAAGGUCAAACGACUUCGAUCAGAUAAUGGUACUGAGUACAAAAACGAUCCAUUUCUACAAGUAUGCCAAGAUGAGGGCAUUGUGCGACACUUCACUGUUCGAGAUACACCACAGCAGAAUGGGGUGGCAGAACGCAUGAAUCGGACUAUACUGGAGAAAGUUCGAUGUAUGUUGUCCAAUGCUGGAUUGGGCAAGGAAUUUUGGGCUGAGGCAGUUACAUAUGCGUGCCAUCUAAUUAACCGAUUGCCAUCAGCUGCAAUAAAUGGAAAAAACUCCUAUGGAGAUGUGGACUGGUAAACCUGCUACUGAUUAUGAUUCUUUACAUGUUUUUGGUUCCACUGCAUAUUAUCAUGUAAAAGAAUCUAAGUUAGACCCAAGAGCAAAGAAAGCAUUAUUCAUGGGUAUAACUGGUGGUGUAAAAGGAUACCGUCUCUGGUGUCCUGAUACAAGGAAGAUUGUUUUCAGUAGAGAUGUAACUUUUGAUGAAUCAACCAUGAUGAAGAACGAGGAUUCACAAAAGGAUGACAAAACCAGUAGUACUUUGCAGCAGGUGGAGUUUGAAAAGGUUAAUGAUGAUCCAGCUAAUAUUGAAAGAACAAAUGAUGAAGAAGUUUCGACCCAAGAACUUCUACAGCAACAAGAUUCAAUUGCAUAUAGGAGGCCAAGAAGAGAGAUUCGUAAGCCUGCUCGCUUUGACGAUAUGGUGGCCUAUGCACUUCCAAUUGCAGAUGAUGAUGUUCCUUCCACUUACACAGAAGCAAUAAGUAACUCUGAUGGUGUAAAGUGGAAGCAAGCUAUGAAUGAAGAAAUGCAGUCUCUUCAUAAAAAUAGGACUUGGGAGUUGGUGAGACUGCCCAAGGGAAAGAAGGCAAUUGGAUGCAAAUGGGUAUAUGCAAAGAAGGAAGGAUUUCCUGGUAAAAAUGAAAUUCGAUACAAGGCUAGAUUGGUAGCAAAGGGUUACGCUCAGAAAGAAGGAAUAGACUACAAUGAAGUGUUUUCUCCAGUUGUGAAGCAUUCGUCUAUUCGGAUUUUGCUAGCCUUGGUUGCGCAAUAUGAUCUUGAACUAGUUCAGCUUGAUGUGAAGACCGCGUUUUUACACGGUGAUUUGGAAGAGGAAAUCUAUAUGACUCAGCCAGAUGGAUUCAAGGUUGCUGGAAAAGAAAAUUGGAUUUGCAAACUGACAAAGUCGCUUUAUGGAUUGAAGCAAUCUCCGAGGCAGUGGUACAAGCGAUUUGAUCAGUUCAUGAAAGGGCAAAGGUACACAAGAAGUAAAUUUGAUCAUUGCGUGUAUUUUCAGAAGCUACAAGAAGGAACUUUCAUAUACUUGCUCUUAUAUGUUGAUGAUAUGCUAAUAGCAUCUAAGAGCAAAGUUGAGAUUGAAAGAUUGAAGACUCAACUCAAUCUCGAGUUUGAGAUGAAAGAUCUAGGAGAAGCUAAAAAGAUUCUCGGCAUGGAAAUAUGUAGAGAUAGAGCUCAUGGCAGAGUUAGCUUGUCUCAGAAGCAGUAUUUGAAUAAAGUACUACAGCAGUUUGGUAUGAACGAGCAGACCAAACCUGUAAGUACCCCGUUGGCUUCUCAUUUCAAGCUUUCUGCACAACUAUCUCCUUCGACGAAUAUGGAACAAGAAUACAUGUUGCAAGUUCCGUAUUCUAAUGCAGUGGGUAGCUUGAUGUAUGCAAUGGUGUGUACAAGACCCGACAUUUCACAGGCAGUUAGUAUAGUGAGCAGGUAUAUGCAUAAUCCUGGAAAAGGACAUUGGCAAGCUGUGAAAUGGAUUCUACGGUAUAUUCAGAAGACCGUGGAUGUUGGAUUACUGUUCAAGCAGGAUAGUACACUUGGUAAAGGUGUUAUUGGGUACGUUGAUUCUGACUAUACCGGUGAUUUGGACAAGCGAAGAUCAACCACCGGUUAUGUGUUUACACUUGCUGGAGGACCAAUAAGUUGGAAGUCUACACUACAGUCUACAGUUGCAUUGUCAACCACAGAAGCCGAGUACAUGGCUGUAACAGAGGCUGUAAAGGAGGCUGUUUGGUUACAAGGUAUGGCUAAAACCUUGGGGUUGGUUCAGGAGCAUAUUAACGUGUAUUGUGAUAGUCAAAGUGCUAUUCAUUUAGCAAAGAAUCAAGUCUAUCAUGCACGUACAAAACAUAUCGACGUACGAUUCCAUUUUGUGCGGGAAAUUAUUGAAGAGGGGAAAAUUUGUCUUCAGAAGAUCAAGACUGCAGAUAAUCCCGCAGAUAUGAUGACCAAGGUGGUAACAGCAACCAAGUUCGAACAUUGUUUGAACUUGAUUAAUAUCCUGCAAGUUUAACAGUUGAAGAAGGCACUAUCAAGUAUUGUUGUCAAAAGCAGAAAGAAUUGUGUGAAGAUAAGAUUAUCCUAAUCAAAUCUUCAAGGUGGAGAUUAUUAGAAUAUACCCAUACCCCAUACCUUGCCCAUACCUUUCCCAUACCUACCCAUACUUUGGAAAGGUCAAAGUUAUGGGCACCAAAUAUUUUAUUUAGUGUUGGGCAUGGGAAAAUAGCAAUUUUUGGUCCCUAAGUGAAUAGUGACUUUGCAAGGUGGCCCUUGAAUCUCAACUAUAAAUAGGCCAACCAUUGCUCAUUCUCAUCAUCCCACAUUUGCCAUUCUCUACUUAAGGCAUUGUUCUCUCUCCCUAUUUGUAAAGUUUCACUUGUAUUUUGGAGUGAAAUAUAUUUGGUAGUGCCCGAGGACGUAGGCAAGAUUUGCCGAACCUCGUUAAAUUUUGGUGUUCUUUACUAUUUAAUGUUCAUAUUUUGUGAGUGUGAUUGUAGUGAUUUAUUGUGCUAUUAAAUUACGAUAGAGGGAUAUUCUGGCUAGGAAAGACUUGGUACUUAAGUGAUCCUCGUGAUUCACCUCUCUUUCCUGGGAAUUGAACUUAGUGUGAUUUUUUAGUACAAUAAUUUUACUCUUUCACACGCUUCCGCGCAACA
rnacentral:lncRNA from 1 species